UACGUAGGGGGCGAGCGUUGUCCGGAUUUAUUGGGCGUAAAGAGCGUGUAGGCGGCCAGGUAGGUCUGCUGUGAAAACUCGAGGCUCAACCUCGGGACGUCGGCGGAAACCAUCUGGCUAGAGUCCGGAAGAGGAGAGUGGAAUUCCUGGUGUAGCGGUGAAAUGCGCAGAUAUCAGGAAGAACACCCGUGGCGAAGGCGGCUCUCUGGGACGGUACUGACGCUGAGACGCGAAAGCGUGGGGAGCGAACAGG
rnacentral:rRNA from 1 species